UACGUAGGUGGCAAGCGUUUUCCGGAUUUACUGGGCGUAAAGGGCUUGUAGGCGGUUCGUUAAGUCUGGUGUGAAAUCUCCCGGCUCAACUGGGAGGGGUCAUCGGAUACUGGCGAGCUAGAGGUGGGCAGAGGAAAGCAGAAUUCCCGGUGUAGCGGUGAAAUGCGUAGAUAUCGGGAGGAAUACCAGUGGCGAAGGCGGCUUUCUGGGCCUAUCCUGACGCUGAGGAGCGAAAGCGUGGGGAGCAAACCGG
rnacentral:rRNA from 1 species